CUUGGCGGCCAUAGAGGAGAGGGUACACCCGACCCCAUUCCGAACUCGGCAGUUAAGCUCUCCAUCGCCGAUGAUACUGCAUAUUCAUGUGUGGGAAAGUAGGCCGCUGCCAAGG
rnacentral:rRNA from 1 species